rnacentral:rRNA from 1 species
UACGAAGGGGGCGAGCGUUGUUCGGAAUUACUGGGUUUAAAGGGUGCGUAGGCGGCCUUGUAAGUCAGGAGUGAAAGUUUGCAGCUCAACUGUAAAAUUGCUUCUGAUACUGCUUGGCUGGAAUUAGGAUGAGGUCAGCGGAAUGUGGCAUGUAGCGGUGAAAUGCAUAGAUAUGCCAUAGAACACCAAUUGCGAAGGCAGCUGGCUAGACCUGGAUUGACGCUGAGGCACGAAAGCGUGGGGAGCGAACAGG